rnacentral:rRNA from 1 species
GAUGAACGCUGGCGGCGUGCCUAAUACAUGCAAGUCGAGCGAACAGACGAGGAGCUUGCUCCUCUGACGUUAGCGGCGGACGGGUGAGUAACACGUGGAUAACCUACCUAUAAGACUGGGAUAACUUCGGGAAACCGGAGCUAAUACCGGAUAAUAUAUUGAACCGCAUGGUUCAAUAGUGAAAGGCGGUUUUGCUGUCACUUAUAGAUGGAUCCGCGCCGCAUUAGCUAGUUGGUAAGGUAACGGCUUACCAAGGCAACGAUGCGUAGCCGACCUGAGAGGGUGAUCGGCCACACUGGAACUGAGACACGGUCCAGACUCCUACGGGAGGCAGCAGUAGGGAAUCUUCCGCAAUGGGCGAAAGCUUGACGGAGCAACGCCGCGUGAGUGAUGAAGGUCUUCGGAUCGUAAAACUCUGUUAUUAGGGAAGAACAAAUGUGUAAGUAGCUAUGCACGUCUUGACGGUACCUAAUCAGAAAGCCACGGCUAACUACGUG